CACUGCUCCCUCUCGCUUUUCCAUUUUCACCCCCCCCCCCCCCCCCUUCCAACACAAAAUUGAAUUUGAGCCAACCGAGCGCCUCGGGGGCUAUAAAAAAGAUUAGGUUGGCACAUGGAUGGAUGGAUAAGCAGAAACUUCUGAU
ensembl:ncRNA VC5.16 ncRNA